GGUUACCUUGUUACGACUUCACCCCAGUCGCUGAUCCUACCGUGGCCGCCUGCCCCCCGAAGGUUAGCGCAGCGUCGUCGGGUAGAACCAACUCCCAUGGUGUGACGGGCGGUGUGUACAAGGCCCGGGAACGUAUUCACCGCGUCAUGCUGUUACGCGAUUACUAGCGAUUCCGACUUCAUGGGGUCGAGUUGCAGACCCCAAUCCGAACUGAGACAGUUUUUUGGGAUUAACCCAUUGUCACUGCCAUUGUAGCACGUGUGUAGCCCAACCCGUAAGGGCCAUGAGGACUUGACGUCAUCCACACCUUCCUCCCGCUUAUCACGGGCAGUUUCCAUAGAGUGCCCAGCCGAACUGCUGGCAACUAGGGAUGUGGGUUGCGCUCGUUGCCCGACUUAACCGAACAUCUCACGACACGAGCUGACAAGAGCCAUGCAGCACCUGUUUCUCGUCCAGCCAAACUGAAAGCCCUUCUCUGGA
rnacentral:rRNA from 1 species